ACACGGAUUUGGGAUGUGUCC
rnacentral:miRNA from 1 species